rnacentral:misc_RNA from 1 species
GAGAGAGAGAGAGGGAGAGAGACUCUUUCUGCUAAUCGAUUCCAGCUAUAGAGAUCGCACCAAAGCGAACCCAAACCUUCAGGUCCAAGAAAAUCAUUUGGGUUUUGCCAAUUGUUUAAUUGCUUUAGUUACUGGAAUUUUUUGAUAUCCAAUAUCUGGGUCGGUGGCAUCCGUCCGGAUUUUGUGAUCGGGUCUGAUUUUGAUCGUUCCAUUGGAAAUCCUCGGUGGGUCUUUGGUCCUCUAAAAUGG